UUGCUGUGAUGACUGUCUUAGGACACCUUUGGAACACCCAUGAAAAAAAAAGCUACUUCUGAGCAAC
rnacentral:snoRNA from 1 species